rnacentral:rRNA from 1 species
CCUACGGGAGGCAGCAGUGGGGAAUAUUGGGCAAUGGAGGAAACUCUGACCCAGCAACGCCGCGUGAAUGAUGAAGGUCUUCGGAUUGUAAAGUUCUUUUCUAAGGGAAGAAGAAAGUGACGGUACCUUAGGAAUAAGCCUCGGCUAAGUACGUGCCAGCAGCCGCGGUAAUACGUAGGAGGCGAGCGUUAUCCGGAUUGACUGGGCGUAAAGGGUGCGUAGGUGGUUUGGCAAGUUAGUAGCGUAACUCCAAGGCUCAACCUUGGAACUACUACUAAAACUGGUGGACUUGAGUGCAGGAGGGGCAGGCGGAAUUCCUAGUGUAGCGGUGGAAUGCGUAGAUAUUAGGAGGAACACCAGUGGCGAAGGCGGGUUGCUGGACUGUAACUGACGCUGAGGCACGAAAGCGUGGGGAGCAAACAGGAUUAGAUACCCGGGUAGUC